rnacentral:rRNA from 1 species
UGGGGAGGCCUUAUACAUGCAAGUCGAACGCUUUGUGGUUCAACUGAUUUGAAGAGCUUGCUCAGAUAUGACGAUGGACAUUGCAAAGAGUGGCGAACGGGUGAGUAACACGUGGGAAACCUACCUCUUAGCAGGGGAUAACAUUUGGAAACAGAUGCUAAUACCGUAUAACAAUGACAACCGCAUGGUUGUUAUUUAAAAGAUGGUUCUGCUAUCACUAAGAGAUGGUCCCGCGGUGCAUUAGCUAGUUGGUAAGGUAAUGGCUUACCAAGGCGAUGAUGCAUAGCCGAGUUGAGAGACUGAUCGGCCACAAUGGGACUGAGACACGGCCCAUACUCCUACGGGAGGCAGCAGUAGGGAAUCUUCCACAAUGGGCGAAAGCCUGAUGGAGCAACGCCGCGUGUGUGAUGAAGGGUUUCGGCUCGUAAAACACUGUUGUAAGAGAAGAAUGACAUUGAGAGUAACUGUUCAAUGUGUGACGGUAUCUUACCAGAAAGGAACGGCUAAAUACGUGCCAGCAGCCGCGGUAAUACGUAUGUUCCAAGCGUUAUCCGGAUUUAUUGGGCGUAAAGCGAGCGCAGACGGUUAUUUAAGUCUGAAGUGAAAGCCCUCAGCUCAACUGAGGAAUUGCUUUGGAAACUGGAUGACUUGAGUGCAGUAGAGGAAAGUGGAACUCCAUGUGUAGCGGUGAAAUGCGUAGAUAUAUGGAAGAACACCAGUGGCGAAGGCGGCUUUCUGGACUGUAACUGACGUUGAGGCUCGAAAGUGUGGGUAGCAAACAGGAUUAGAUACCCUGGUAGUCCACACCGUAAACGAUGAGUGCUAGGUGUUUGAGGGUUUCCGCCCUUAAGUGCCGCAGCUAACGCAUUAAGCACUCCGCCUGGGGAGUACGACCGCAAGGUUGAAACUCAAAGGAAUUGACGGGGACCCGCACAAGCGGUGGAGCAUGUGGUUUAAUUCGAAGCAACGCGAAGAACCUUACCAGGUCUUGACAUCCCUUGACAACUCCAGAGAUGGAGCGUUCCCUUCGGGGACAAGGUGACAGGUGGUGCAUGGUUGUCGUCAGCUCGUGUCGUGAGAUGUUGGGUUAAGUCCCGCAACGAGCGCAACCCUUAUUACUAGUUGCCAGCAUUCAGUUGGGCACUCUAGUGAGACUGCCGGUGACAAACCGGAGGAAGGUGGGGAUGACGUCAAAUCAUCAUGCCCCUUAUGACCUGGGCUACACACGUGCUACAAUGGCGUAUACAACGAGUUGCCAACCCGCGAGGGUGAGCUAAUCUCUUAAAGUACGUCUCAGUUCGGAUUGUAGGCUGCAACUCGCCUACAUGAAGUCGGAAUCGCUAGUAAUCGCGGAUCAGCACGCCGCGGUGAAUACGUUCCCGGGUCUUGUACACACCGCCCGUCACACCAUGAGAGUUUGUAACACCCAAAGCCGGUGGGGUAACCUUCGGGAGCCCCAAGCCCU